rnacentral:rRNA from 1 species
GCAGUCGCCGCGGUAAUACAGAGGGUGCGAGCGUUAAUCGGAUUUACUGGGCGUAAAGCGUGCGUAGGCGGCUAAUUGAGUCGGAUGUGAAAUCCCCGAGCUUAACUUGGGAAUUGCAUUCGAUACUGGUUAGCUAGAGUGUGGGAGAGGAUGGUAGAAUUCCAGGUGUAGCGGUGAAAUGCGUAGAGAUCUGGAGGAAUACCGAUGGCGAAGGCAGCCAUCUGGCCUAACACUGACGCUGAGGUACGAAAGCAUGGGGAGCAAACAGGAUUAGAUACCCCCGUAGUCCCUGUCUCUUAUAC